rnacentral:rRNA from 1 species
AUUGAACGCUGGCGGCAUGCCUAACACAUGCAAGUCGAGCGGAUGAACGGAGCUUUCUCCUGUAUUCAGCUGCGGACGGGUGAGUAAUUCCUAGGAAUCUGCCUGGUAUUUGGGGAUAACGUCCGGUAACGGGCGCUAAUACCGCAUACGUCCUGAUGUAGAAAGUCAGGGAUCUUCGGACCUCACGCUAUCAGAUGAGCCUAGGUCGUAUUAGCUAGUUGGUGUGGUAAAGGCCUACCAAGGCGACGAUCCGUAACUGGUCUGAGAGGAUGAUCAGUCACACUGGAACUGAGACACGGUCCAGACUCCUACGGGAGGCAGCAGUGGGGAAUCUUGGACAAUGGGCGAAAGCCUGAUCCAGCCACGCCGCGUGUGUGAAGAAGGUCUUCGGAUUGUAAAGCACUUUAAGUUGGGAGGAAGGGAAGUAAGUUAAUACAUUGAUGUCUUGACGUUACCAACAGAAUAAGCACCGGCUAACUUCGUG